rnacentral:rRNA from 1 species
GACGAACGCUGGCGGCGUGCUUAACACAUGCAAGUCGAGCGGUAAGGCCCCUUCGGGGGUACACGAGCGGCGAACGGGUGAGUAACACGUGAGCAAUCUGCCCAUCACAUCGGGAUAACUCCGGGAAACCGAAGCUAAUACCGAAUACGACCACCUCCGGCAUCGGAUGGUGGUGGAAAGUUCCGGCGGUGAUGGAUGAGCUCGCGGCCUAUCAGCUUGUUGGUGGGGUAACGGCCCACCAAGGCUUCGACGGGUAGCCGGCCUGAGAGGGUGACCGGCCACACUGGGACUGAGACACGGCCCAGACUCCUACGGGAGGCAGCAGUGGGGAAUAUUGGACAAUGGGCGAAAGCCUGAUCCAGCAACGCCGCGUGAGGGAUGACGGCCUUCGGGUUGUAAACCUCUUUCAGCAGGGACGAAGCGCAAGUGACGGUACCUGCAGAAGAAGCACCGGCCAACUACGCG